rnacentral:rRNA from 1 species
UCUGGAAGAAUCUGGAGACAGGUGCUGCAUGGCUGUCGUCAGCUCGUGUCGUGAGAUGUGGGUUAAGUCCCGCAACGAGCGCAACCCUUGCCUUUAGUUGCCAGCAGUUCGGCUGGGCACUCUAAAGGGACUGCCGGUGUUAAACCGGAGGAAGGUGGGGAUGACGUCAAGUCCUCAUGGCCUUUAUGACCAGGGCUACACACGUACUACAAUGGCCGAUACAAAGGGCAGCGACACUGCGAGGUGAAGCCAAUCCCGUAAAAUCGGUCUCAGUCCGGAUUGGAGUCUGCAACUCGACUCCAUGAAGUUGGAAUCGCUAGUAAUCGUGGAUCAGCAUGCCACGGUGAAUACGUUCCCGGGCCUU